rnacentral:rRNA from 1 species
AAUAAAUACAAAUAAAAUUUGUUAUUUAAAGUUAAAAUGAUUAAAAAAAUAAUUUUCAUUAUAUUUUAUUAGGUUAAAUUUUAAAAUGUAUAAUCAUUAUAAAAAAAUAUUUUUUUAAGCUUAAAAAAUUUAUUAUUAAACUAGGAUUAGAUACCCUAUUAUAAAAAUUGUAAUUAAAGAAAAAUAGAGUAGUAUUAGUUAUAUUCUUAAAACUUAAUAAAUUUGGCGGUAUUUUAAUCUAUUCAGAGGAACUUGUUUUAUAAUUGAUAAUCCUCAUUAUAUCUUACUUAGUUUAAUUAAUUUGUAUACCGUCGUCAUAAGAAUUUCUUAAAAAAGAAAAAAUUUUCUUGAUAAUUAAUUAUUUAAAAUGUCAGAUCAAGGUGCAGUUUAUAAUUAAGACAAAAUGAGUUACAAUAAAAUUAUUUAUACGAAUUAAAAAUUUAAAUAUUUUUUUGAAGGUGGAUUUGAUAGUAAAAUUAAAAAUUAAAUUAAUUUGAUGUUAGUUCUAAAAUAUGCACAUAUCGCCCGUCGCUCUCGUUAUUUAAAAUGAG